AGAGUUUGAUCCUGGCUCAGAUUGAACGCUGGCGGAAUGCUUUACACAUGCAAGUCGAACGGCAGCGCGGGGGCAACCCUGGCGGCGAGUGGCGAACGGGUGAGUAAUACAUCGGAACGUGCCCAUGUCGUGGGGGAUAACGUAGCGAAAGCUACGCUAAUACCGCAUACGAUCUACGGAUGAAAGCGGGGGACCGUAAGGCCUCGCGCGAUUGGAGCGGCCGAUGGCAGAUUAGGUAGUUGGUGGGGUAAAGGCCCACCAAGCCUGCGAUCUGUAGCUGGUCUGAGAGGACGACCAGCCACACUGGGACUGAGACACGGCCCAGACUCCUACGGGAGGCAGCAGUGGGGAAUUUUGGACAAUGGGCGCAAGCCUGAUCCAGCCAUUCCGCGUGCAGGAUGAAGGCCUUCGGGUUGUAAACUGCUUUUGUACGGAACGAAAAGGUGCCUCCUAAUACGGGGUGCUCAUGACGGUACCGUAAGAAUAAGCACCGGCUAACUACGUGCCAGCAGCCGCGGUAAUACGUAGGGUGCAAGCGUUAAUCGGAAUUACUGGGCGUAAAGCGUGCGCAGGCGGUGAUGUAAGACAGGCGUGAAAUCCCCGGGCUUAACCUGGGAACUGCGCUUGUGACUGCAUUGCUGGAGUGCGGCAGAGGGGGAUGGAAUUCCGCGUGUAGCAGUGAAAUGCGUAGAUAUGCGGAGGAACACCGAUGGCGAAGGCAAUC
rnacentral:rRNA from 1 species